rnacentral:rRNA from 1 species
AUUGAACGCUGGCGGCAGGCCUAACACAUGCAAGUCGAGCGAGUGGCGGACGGGUGAGUAAUGUAUGGGGAUCUGCCUGAUGGAGGGGGAUAACUACUGGAAACGGUAGCUAUUACCGCUUACCAUCAGAUGAACCCUGAUGGGAUUAGCUUGUCGGUGAGGUAACGGAUCACCUAGGCGACGAUCCCUAGCUGGUCUGAGAGGAUGAUCGGCCACACUGGGACUGAGACACGGCCCAGACUCCUACGGGAGGCAGCAGUGGGGAAUAUUGCACAAUGGGCGCAAGCCUGAUGCAGCCAUGCCGCGUGUAUGAAGAAGGCCUUCGGGUUGUAAAGUACUUUCAGUCGGGAGGCGUUACCGACAGAAGAAGCACCGGCUAACUCCGUGCCAGCAGCCGCGGUAAUAC